ensembl:lncRNA
GGGAAAGUUGACUUUGAAUUAAUGGACUGUAAUCAAGAAGAGGAAGAACUUUUAAUUGUGUGUGUUACUCUCGUACCGUUUGCGCCGAGGACUUUUAUUUACUUUACAGGAAAAAAAACGUGGAAUUUUUGCACGUGCUUUAGUGACUGUCGCACACGUUUCAUCUACUUUCACUUUUUUUUUUUUUUUUUUUUUCAAACGUCUUUCGAUAUACAUUUUUUAAAUGGUUCGUACGAUCAAGUCCGGUUGCGGAGACUCACGUGUCACGUUAUCACAUCGUACUCACGUAAUUACACGUCAAACGCGUGCGACUCUUCUGUAACGGCUCUAGAAAUGAAAAGAAUGGUUUUUCACUGAGGUCUUGUAUACAGAGGACAUUUUGCAGGCGCAGGAAGCUACUGGAAAUUCAGACACUGACAACAAUGCGAAAAACGAUAAAAUAUGGAUCACUUCCGGUACGGAUGUAAAGUCCGAGCGAUGGAAGUCCAUUUCACGAAGGUACGACAGAGAGCGAAAUAGAUCCAAGACUUGAACCUGAGCUUGGCUUGGUCUUGACGACUGACCGAUUUCAGGACUGAUUGUUGGAGGCCAGGCAGCGG